UACGUAGGGAGCAAGCGUUGUCCGGAAUCAUUGGGCGUAAAGCGCGCGUAGGCGGCCCUGUAAGUCCGUUGUGAAAGUCAAAGGCUCAACCUUUGAAAGCCGAUGGAUACUGCAGGGCUAGAGUCCGGAAGAGGCGAGUGGAAUUCCUGGUGUAGCGGUGGAAUGCGCAGAUAUCAGGAGGAACACCAAUAGCGAAGGCAGCUCACUGGACCGGAACUGACGCUGAGGCGCGAAAGCUAGGGGAGCAAACGGG
rnacentral:rRNA from 1 species